rnacentral:rRNA from 1 species
GACGAACGCUGGCGGCGUGCUUAACACAUGCAAGUCGAACGGUAAGGCCCUUCGGGGUACACGAGUGGCGAACGGGUGAGUAACACGUGGGUGAUCUGCCCUGCACUUCGGGAUAAGCCUGGGAAACUGGGUCUAAUACCGGAUAGGACCACUGCCUGCAUGGGGGGUGGUGGAAAGCUUUUGCGGUGUGGGAUGGGCCCGCGGCCUAUCAGCUUGUUGGUGGGGUGACGGCCUACCAAGGCGACGACGGGCAGCCGGCCUGAGAGGGUGACCGGCGACACAGGGAAUGAGGUACGGCCCAGACUGCUACGGGAGGCAGGAGGGGGGAGUAUUGGACAAUGGGGGCAAGGCUGAGUCAGGGACGCGGCGUGAGGGAUGACGGCCUUCGGGUUGUAAACCUCUUUCAGCACCGACGAAGCGCAAGUGACGGUAGGUGCAGAAGAAGGACCGGCCAACUACGUGCCAGCCGCCGCAGUAA